rnacentral:rRNA from 1 species
GUGGGGAAUAUUGGACAAUGGGCGAAAGCCUGAUCCAGCCAUGCCGCGUGUGUGAAGAAGGUCUUCGGAUUGUAAAGCACUUUAAGUUGGGAGGAAGGGCAGUAAGUUAAUACCUUGCUGUUUUGACGUUACCAACAGAAUAAGCACCGGCUAACUUCGUGCCAGCAGCCGCGGUAAUACGAAGGGUGCAAGCGUUAAUCGGAAUUACUGGGCGUAAAGCGCGCGUAGGUGGUUCAGGAAGUUGAAGGUGAAAUCCCCGGGCUCAACCUGGGAACUGCCUCCAAAACUGCAUGACUAGAGUACGGUAGAGGGUAGUGGAAUUUCCUGUGUAGCGGUGAAAUGCGUAGAUAUAGGAAGGAACACCAGUGGCGAAGGCGACUACCUGGACUGAUACUGACACUGAGGUGCGAAAGCGUGGGGAGCAAACAGGAUUAGAUACCCGGGUAGUCC